rnacentral:rRNA from 1 species
UACAGAGGUCUCAAGCGUUGUUCGGAUUCAUUGGGCGUACAGGGUGCGUAGGCGGCGCGGUAAGUCGGGUGUGAAAUCUUGGAGCUUAACUCCGAAACUGCAUUCGAUACUGCCGUGCUUGAGGACUGGAGAGGAGACUGGAAUUUACGGUGUAGCGGUGAAAUGCGUAGAUAUCGUAAGGAAGACCAGUGGCGAAGGCGGGUCUCUGGACAGUUCCUGACGCUGAGGCACGAAGGUCAGGGGAGCAAACGGG